rnacentral:rRNA from 1 species
UACGUAGGCAGCAAGCGUUGUUCGGAGUUACUGGGCGUAAAAGGUGCGUAGGCGGUUCCGUAAGUAUGGUGUGAAAUCUCCCGGCUUAACUGGGAGGGUGCGCUAUAAACUGCGGGACUAGAGUGUGGGAGAGGAAAGUGGAAUUCCUGGUGGUAGCGGUGAAAUGCGUAGAUAUCAGGAGGAACACCGGUGGUGUAAACGGCUUUCUGGACCAUAACUGACGCUGAGGCACGAAAGCGUGGUAGCAAACAGG